rnacentral:rRNA from 1 species
CCUACGGGGGGCAGCAGUGGGGAAUAUUGUACAAUGGAGGAAACUCUGAUGCAGCGACGCCGCGUGAAGGAAGAAGGUCUUCGGAUUGUAAACUUCUGUUGUCAGGGACGAUAAUGACGGUACCUGACGAGAAAGCCACGGCUAACUACGUGCCAGCAGCCGCGGUAAAACGUAGGUGGCAAGCGUUGUCCGGAAUUACUGGGUGUAAAGGGAGCGCAGGCGGAUUGGUAAGUUGGAGGUGAAAUUCAUGGGCUCAACCCAUGACCUGCCUUCAAAACUACCAGUCUUGAGUGGUGCAGAGGUAGGCGGAAUUCCCGGUGUAGCGGUGGAAUGCGUAGAUAUCGGGAGGAACACCAGUGGCGAAGGCGGCCUACUGGGCACUAACUGACGCUGAGGCUCGAAAGCAUGGGUAGCAAACAGGAUUAGAUACCCGGGU